rnacentral:rRNA from 1 species
CCUACGGGUGGCAGCAGUGAGGAAUAUUGGUCAAUGGACGAGAGUCUGAACCAGCCAAGUAGCGUGAAGGAUGACUGCCCUAUGGGUUGUAAACUUCUUUUAUAUGGGAAUAAAACGUUCCACGUGUGGGAUUUUGUAUGUACCAUAUGAAUAAGGAUCGGCUAACUCCGUGCCAGCAGCCGCGGUAAUACGGAGGAUCCGAGCGUUAUCCGGAUUUAUUGGGUUUAAAGGGAGCGUAGGUGGAUUGUUAAGUCAGUUGUGAAAGUUUGCGGCUCAACCGUAAAAUUGCAGUUGAAACUGGCAGUCUUGAGUACAGUAGAGGUGGGCGGAAUUCGUGGUGUAGCGGUGAAAUGCUUAGAUAUCACGAAGAACUCCGAUUGCGAAGGCAGUUCACUGGACUGAAACUGACACUGAGGCUCGAAAGUGUGGGUAUCAAACAGGAUUAGAUACCCUUGUAGUC